rnacentral:rRNA from 1 species
UACGUAGGCAGCGAGCGUUGUUCGGAAUUACUGGGCGUAAAGAGUGUGUAGGCGGUGCUCCCAGUCUGUUGUGAAAUCUCCCGGCUUAACUGGGAGGGUGCGCUACAAACUGUCUGACUAGAGUGUGGGAUGGGUAAGUGGAAUUCCUGGUGUAGCGGUGAAAUGCGUAGAUAUCAGGAGGAACACCGGUGGUGUAGACGGCUUACUGGACCAUAACUGACGCUGAGACACGAAAGCGUGGGUAGCAAACAGG